UUACGGCCAUAUCACGCUGAAACACUGAUUCUCGUACGAUUAGCGAAGUUAAGCAUCGUCGAGGCUGGUUAGCACCUAGAUGGGUAACCGCUUGGGAAUGCCAAGUGUGGUAA